rnacentral:rRNA from 1 species
GUGUCAGCCGCCGCGGUAAUACGUGGGGUGCAAGCGUUAUCCGGAUUUACUGGGCGUAAAGAGUUCGUAGGUGUUUGGGUACAUCUUGUUUCAAAGCCCGAGGCUCAACCUCGGAAAGGGAUGAGAUAUGGCCUGAAUAGAGUUUGCUAGGGGGUACUGGAACUUGUUGUGUAGCAGUGAAAUGCGUUGAUAUAACAAGGAACACCGAGAGCGAAGGCAGGUACCUGGGGCACAACUGACACUGAGGAACGAAAGCUAGGGGAGCGAAAGGGAUUAGAUACCCCCGUAGUCC